GAUGAACGCUAGCGGCAGGCUUAACACAUGCAAGUCGAGGGGUAACAUUGUAGCUUGCUACAGAUGACGACCGGCGCACGGGUGCGUAACGCGUAUACAAUCUACCUAUUACUAAGAGAUAGCCCAGAGAAAUUUGGAUUAAUAUUUUAUAGUAUUAUCGAUUGGCAUCAAUUGAUAAUUAAAGAUUACGGUAAUAGAUGAGUAUGCGUCCUAUUAGCUUGAUGGUAAGGUAACGGCUUACCAUGG
rnacentral:rRNA from 1 species